UGGGGAAUAUUGCACAAUGGGCGCAAGCCUGAUGCAGCCAUGCCGCGUGUAUGAAGAAGGCCUUCGGGUUGUAAAGUACUUUCAGCGGGGAGGAAGGGAGUAAAGUUAAUACCUUUGCUCAUUGACGUUACCCGCAGAAGAAGCACCGGCUAACUCCGUGCCAGCAGCCGCGGUAAUACGGAGGGUGCAAGCGUUAAUCGGAAUUACUGGGCGUAAAGCGCACGCAGGCGGUUUGUUAAGUCAGAUGUGAAAUCCCCGGGCUCAACCUGGGAACUGCAUCUGAUACUGGCAAGCUUGAGUCUCGUAGAGGGGGGUAGAAUUCCAGGUGUAGCGGUGAAAUGCGUAGAGAUCUGGAGGAAUACCGGUGGCGAGGCGGCCCCCUGGACGAAGACUGACGCUCAGGUGCGAAAGCGUGGGGAGCAAACAGG
rnacentral:rRNA from 1 species